UACGUAGGGUGCAAGCGUUAAUCGGAAUUACUGGGCGUAAAGCGUGCGCAGGCGGUUUUGUAAGUCUGUCGUGAAAGCCCCGGGCUCAACCUGGGAAUUGCGAUGGAGACUGCAAGGCUUGAAUCUGGCAGAGGGGGGUAGAAUUCCACGUGUAGCAGUGAAAUGCGUAGAGAUGUGGAGGAACACCGAUGGCGAAGGCAGCCCCCCUGGGUCAAGAUUGACGCUCAUGCACGAAAGCGUGGGGAGCAAACAGG
rnacentral:rRNA from 1 species